GACGAACGCUGGCGGCGUGCUUAACACAUGCAAGUCGAACGGAAAGGCCCUGCUUUUGUGGGGUGCUUGAGUGGCGAACGGGUGAGUAACACGUGAGUAACCUGCCCUUGACUUUGGGAUAACUUCAGGAAACUGGGGCUAAUACCGGAUAGGAGCUCCUGCUGCAUGGUGGGGGUUGGAAAGUUUCGGCGGUUGGGGAUGGACUCGCGGCUUAUCAGCUUGUUGGUGGGGUAGUGGCUUACCAAGGCUUUGACGGGUAGCCGGCCUGAGAGGGUGACCGGCCACAUUGGGACUGAGAUACGGCCCAGACUCCUACGGGAGGCAGCAGUGGGGAAUAUUGCACAAUGGGCGGAAGCCUGAUGCAGCAACGCCGCGUGCGGGAUGACGGCCUUCGGGUUGUAAACCGCUUUCGCCUGUGACGAAGCGUGAGUGACGGUAAUGGGUAAAGAAGCACCGGCUAACUUCGUG
rnacentral:rRNA from 1 species